CCUACGGGAGGCAGCAGUGGGGAAUCUUGCGCAAUGGGCGAAAGCCUGACGCAGCAACGCCGCGUGCGGGAAGAAGGCUUUCGGGCUGUAAACCGCUUUCAGCAGGAACGAAAAUGACGGUACCUGCAGAAGAAGGAGCGGCCAACUAUGUGCCAGCAGCCGCGGUGAUACAUAGGCUUCAAGCGUUGUCCGGAUUUAUUGGGCGUAAAGAGUUCGUAGGCGGUCGAGUAAGUCGGGUGUGAAAAUUCUGGGCUCAACCCAGAGACGCCACCCGAUACUGCUUAACUUGAGUUCGAUAGGGGAGUGGGGAAUUCCUAGUGUAGCGGUGAAAUGCGCAGAUAUUAGGAGGAACACCGGUGGCGAAGGCGCCACUCUGGAUCGAUACUGACGCUGAGGAACGAAAGCAUGGGUAGCAAACAGGAUUAGAUACCCUGGUAGUCCAUGCCGUAAACGGUGGGCACUAGGUGUGGGAUUCUAUUAACGAAUUCCGCGCCGUCGCUAACGCAUUAAGUGCCCCGCCUGGGGGAGGUACGGUCGCAGACUAAACUACAAAGAAGUUAGACGGCGUGAGACGUGCCGACGGACGACGACGAGGGAGUAGG
rnacentral:rRNA from 1 species